rnacentral:lncRNA from 1 species
UGGUAUGUUCAUCAUCAAGGCUAGAUGACACUUUUAUUGUUGGCUCAGUCUUCUUGGAGUUGCUUUGAUAGUGGUUUCCUGGUUCUUGACAGACUUUAGAUUGUGAAUUUAUUUAUUAAUUCGAAAGCUCGUGAUCGAACAUGCGGAUAAAAAGAAGAGAUUGUUGAUGCAUCGGAGCUUACAUCAAUUUCAGGAUAUCUUCAACACAUGAGAUCCGCUCAACCCAGUCGAUGAAGAAUUG